rnacentral:rRNA from 1 species
GACGAACGCUGGCGGCGUGCUUAACACAUGCAAGUCGAACGGUGAAGCGCCUUCCUUUUUGGUGGGUGUGGAUGAGUGGCGAACGGGUGAGUAACACGUGAGUAACCUGCCCCCUUCUUCUGGAUAACCGCAUGAAAGUGUGGCUAAUACGGGAUAUUCUGGGUCUGUCGCAUGAUGGGUCUGGGAAAGAUAUUGUUUCGGUGGGGGAGGGGCUCGCGGCCUAUCAGCUUGUUGGUGGGGUGAUGGCCUACCAAGGCGGUGACGGGGAGCCGGCCUGAGAGGGUGGACGGUCACACUGGGACUGAGACACGGCCCAGACUCCUACGGGAGGCAGCAGUGGGGAAUAUUGCACAAUGGGCGCAAGCCUGAUGCAGCGACGCCGCGUGAGGGAUGGAGGCCUUCGGGUUGUGAACCUCUUUCGCCAGUGAAGCAGGCCUGCCUCGUUUGUGGGUGGGUUGACGGUAGCUGGAUAAGAAGCGCCGGCUAACUACGUG